CCCUUAGAUGUUCUGGGCCGCACGCGCGCUACACUGACGCAUUCAACGAGUCUCCUUGGCCGAGAGGCCUGGGUAAUCUUGUGAACGUGCGUCGUGAUAGGGAUAGAUUAUUGCAAUUAUUAAUCUUGAACGAGGAAUUCCUAGUAAACGCAGAUCAUCAAUCUGCAUUGAUUACGUCCCUGCCCUUUGUACACACCGCCCGUCGCUCCUACCGAUUGAAUGGUCCGGUGAAGCGUUCGGACCGUGGCCUUUGGACGGUUCGCCGUCUGUUGGCUGCGGGAAGUUCGUUAAACCUUAUCAUUUAGAGGAAGGAGAAGUCGUAACA
rnacentral:rRNA from 1 species